AGCGUACACGGUGGAUGCCCUGGCAGUCAGAGGCGAUGAAGGACGUGCUAAUCUGCGAAAAGCGUCGGUAAGGUGAUAUGAACCGUUAUAACCGGCGAUGUCCGAAUGGGGAAACCCAGUGCAAUUCGUUGCACUAUCGUUAACUGAAUACAUAGGUUAACGAGGCGAACCGGGGGAACUGAAACAUCUAAGUACCCCGAGGAAAAGAAAUCAACCGAGAUUCCCCCAGUAGCGGCGAGCGAACGGGGAGCAGCCCAGAGUCUGAAUCAGCUUGUGUGUUAGUGGAACGGUCUGGAAAGUCCGACGGUACAGGGUGAUAGUCCCGUACACCAAAAUGCACAGGUUGUGAACUCGAAGAGUAGGGCGGGACACGUGGUAUCCUGUCUGAAUAUGGGGGGACCAUCCUCCAAGGCUAAAUACUCCUGACUGACCGAUAGUGAACCAGUACCGUGAGGGAAAGGCGAAAAGAACCCCGGCGAGGGGAGUGAAAAAGAACCUGAAACCGUGUACGUACAAGCAGUGGGAGCACCUUCGGGUGUGACUGCGUACCUUUUGUAUAAUGGGUCAGCGACUUAUAUUCUGUAGCAAGGUUAACCGUAUAGGGGAGCCGCAGGGAAACCGAGUCUUAACUGGGCGUUAAGUUGCAGGGUAUAGACCCGAAACCCGGUGAUCUAGCCAUGGGCAGGUUGAAGGUUGGGUAACACUAACUGGAGGACCGAACCGACUAAUGUUGAAAAAUUAGCGGAUGACUUGUGGCUGGGGGUGAAAGGCCAAUCAAACCGGGAGAUAGCUGGUUCUCCCCGAAAGCUAUUUAGGUAGCGCCUCGUGAAUUCAUCUUCGGGGGUAGAGCACUGUUUCGGCUAGGGGGUCAUCCCGACUUACCAACCCGAUGCAAACUACGAAUACCGAAGAAUGUUAUCACGGGAGACACACGGCGGGUGCUAACGUCCGUCGUGAAGAGGGAAACAACCCAGACCGCCAGCUAAGGUCCCAAAGUCAUGGUUAAGUGGGAAACGAUGUGGGAAGGCACAGACAGCCAGGAUGUUGGCUUAGAAGCAGCCAUCAUUUAAAGAAAGCGUAAUAGCUCACUGGUCGAGUCGGCCUGCGCGGAAGAUGUAACGGGGCUAAACCAUGCACCGAAGCUGCGGCAGCGACACUAUGUGUUGUUGGGUAGGGGAGCGUUCUGUAAGCCUGCGAAGGUGUGCUGUGAGGCAUGCUGGAGGUAUCAGAAGUGCGAAUGCUGACAUAAGUAACGAUAAAGCGGGUGAAAAGCCCGCUCGCCGGAAGACCAAGGGUUCCUGUCCAACGUUAAUCGGGGCAGGGUGAGUCGACCCCUAAGGCGAGGCCGAAAGGCGUAGUCGAUGGGAAACAGGUUAAUAUUCCUGUACUUGGUGUUACUGCGAAGGGGGGACGGAGAAGGCUAUGUUAGCCGGGCGACGGUUGUCCCGGUUUAAGCAUGUAGGCUGAUUGUCCAGGCAAAUCCGGAUAAUCAAGGCUGAGGUGUGAUGACGAGGCACUACGGUGCUGAAGUAACAAAUGCCCUGCUUCCAGGAAAAGCCUCUAAGCAUCAGGUAACAUCAAAUCGUACCCCAAACCGACACAGGUGGUCAGGUAGAGAAUACCAAGGCGCUUGAGAGAACUCGGGUGAAGGAACUAGGCAAAAUGGUGCCGUAACUUCGGGAGAAGGCACGCUGGUGUGUAGGUGAAGUCCCUGCGGAUGGAGCUGAGACCAGUCGAAGAUACCAGCUGGCUGCAACUGUUUAUUAAAAACACAGCACUGUGCAAACACGAAAGUGGACGUAUACGGUGUGACGCCUGCCCGGUGCCGGAAGGUUAAUUGAUGGGGUUAUCCGUAAGGAGAAGCUCUUGAUCGAAGCCCCGGUAAACGGCGGCCGUAACUAUAACGGUCCUAAGGUAGCGAAAUUCCUUGUCGGGUAAGUUCCGACCUGCACGAAUGGCGUAAUGAUGGCCAGGCUGUCUCCACCCGAGACUCAGUGAAAUUGAACUCGCUGUGAAGAUGCAGUGUACCCGCGGCAAGACGGAAAGACCCCGUGAACCUUUACUAUAGCUUGACACUGAACAUUGAGCCUUGAUGUGUAGGAUAGGUGGGAGGCUUUGAAGCGUGGACGCCAGUCUGCGUGGAGCCAACCUUGAAAUACCACCCUUUAAUGUUUGAUGUUCUAACGUUGGCCCCUGACCGGGGUUGCGGACAGUGUCUGGUGGGUAGUUUGACUGGGGCGGUCUCCUCCCAAAGCGUAACGGAGGAGCACGAAGGUUAGCUAAUCCUGGUCGGACAUCAGGAGGUUAGUGCAAUGGCAUAAGCUAGCUUGACUGCGAGCGUGACGGCGCGAGCAGGUGCGAAAGCAGGUCAUAGUGAUCCGGUGGUUCUGAAUGGAAGGGCCAUCGCUCAACGGAUAAAAGGUACUCCGGGGAUAACAGGCUGAUACCGCCCAAGAGUUCAUAUCGACGGCGGUGUUUGGCACCUCGAUGUCGGCUCAUCACAUCCUGGGGCUGAAGUAGGUCCCAAGGGUAUGGCUGUUCGCCAUUUAAAGUGGUACGCGAGCUGGGUUUAGAACGUCGUGAGACAGUUCGGUCCCUAUCUGCCGUGGGCGCUGGAGAAUUGAGGGGGGCUGCUCCUAGUACGAGAGGACCGGAGUGGACGCAUCACUGGUGUUCGGGUUGUCAUGCCAAUGGCACUGCCCGGUAGCUAAAUGCGGAAGAGAUAAGUGCUGAAAGCAUCUAAGCACGAAACUUGCCCCGAGAUGAGUUCU
rnacentral:rRNA from 1 species